UACGUAGGGGGCAAGCGUUGUCCGGAUUUAUUGGGCGUAAAGAGCGUGUAGGCGGUUAUACAGGUCCGCUGUGAAAACUGGAGGCUUAACCUCCAGACGUCGGUGGAAACCGUAUGACUAGAGUCCGGAAGAGGAGAGUGGAAUUCCUGGUGUAGCGGUGAAGUGCGCAGAUAUCAGGAAGAACACCCGUGGCGAAGGCGGCUCUCUGGGACGGUACUGACGCUGAGACGCGAAAGCGUGGGGAGCGAACAGG
rnacentral:rRNA from 1 species